ACUAAAAAAUUAGAAAAAACAUGCGCCAAUCCAUUCUUCUUCCUCUUGCGCAAGCUUCACUUCAUCCUUCACCCUUCAGGGCUUCAUCCUUCAAUGCAAACUCACCAUUCAUCCUUCAAUGCGAACUCAUGAUUCAUCCUUCAACACAAAUUCGAUGAACUUUAUCAUUUAGUGCGAACUCAUAUGAACUUCAACUUUCAAUCUUCCUAAAUUUUGUUUUCACUCUCUCAAUCAACAGGAAGAGAAUCAGGACUGUGCUGAAGCUGAAAUGCCUUUGUCUGAUAAAAAAUGUUAUUCUUUAACGAAUGAUGGAAAAAAGAAAAUUAAAAGCAGUGGAAAGAAGGUGCCAAAAUUCAACGAGAGAAUUAAGUAUCCUUACUUGGAAGAGGAUCAUAUUGCUGAGGCAUGUCAUGUGUGUUGUGGUAAUUGCAAUUACAAAGCAUGCUUGCGAUCAACUGCAUUUAUCAAUGAACAUGAGACAUAAUCAUCUUGAUGGUCCGUUGUCUGCUGAAUUUGGCAAACUCAGAAACAUACAAAUUAUUGAUAUGUCCUUCAACAACCUUUUGGGGAGCAUUCCUCCAAAUUGGCCUUAAGGAUAUGGUAACAGAGUGGUCAUAGAGGUUUUUUUUAUUUCCUUACCAAAGUUUUAUUAGUUUUCUAUCUGUAUCUAGUGUGCUUUUGAUUUGUAUGUUAUUCUGUAGUUAGUGGAUGCUUCAACUUGGAAGAGAGAGGUUGCCGAGGGGGUUGAUCUCAUGGUUGUAAGGGAACUAACUAGAGGGCUUUGGUACUAAUGUACAUGGCGAAGAGAUUGGUUUUUAACACUGAGAUUUACGCUGCACACGAGGUAUCUUACUAUUACAAAAUGGUAUUGUGGGUUAAAAAUUUAUGAUUUGGCCAAAAAGUUGUAAUAGUUCGAUCUGGGGUAUCAAACGCUUGUACAAUCAGCAAAUGGCACUUAUCAAUGUCAGUUUUUCCCCUUCUUUUUGCGUUAAUCAUGAUUAUUAAUAUUAUUAAUAUCGUUUAUAUAUACCCACACUUAUGAUUUGUUUGUGUUUUCAUAUUAAGUAUAAUGUAUUGUCAACAUAAAUGAUGUCAUCAUGUGACUCCUUAGGGCAUGUUCAAUUCGAUUAUGUCUGUAAUUACAUUAAUGUUCUGGUUCUACUUAUUUGAUGUGACAAUGCUACGAUGCAAUUGAUAUUUAGUUGAUUUAUUAAUUGCUAUAAUGAAGGAAGUAUGAAAUUUAGUUAAA